ACCACGAAACGGUCUAUCGCCUCGCCUUAGGCGAGGAGGAAAGUCGGGACAAUAAAGGGCGCCAUACUUCCUAACGGGAAGGGUCUCGUCUUGCCUUUGGCAGGACGGGAUACAGAAAGUGUCGCAGAAAAUAACAGCCUAUCCCGCCCGGCGGGAGGCAAUGGUGAAAACGCGGGGUAAGAGCCCACGACUUAUAUCGGCGACGGUAUAAGUGGACAAACCUUAUGGAUUGCAAGAUCAAAUAUACCGGCGAUUGAGGGCUGCCCGCCCGAGCCGGAGGGUAGAUCGCUCGACCCCGGGAGUGAUUCCGGGGCUAGAUAAAUGAUAGACUCCAUAGCAAUAUGGAACAGAAUCCCGCUUAUAGUUUCGUGGUACAU
rnacentral:RNase_P_RNA from 1 species